rfam:Camelus ferus unplaced genomic scaffold scaffold110, whole genome shotgun sequence.
GGAGAUAUAGCUCAGUGAUAGAGUGCAUGCUUAGCACACACAAGGUCCUGGAUUCAAUCCUUAGUACCUCCA